CAUAGGUGGGAAUUGAACAAUGAGAACACAUGGACACAGGAAGGGGAACAUCACACUCUGGGGACUGUUGUGGGGUGGGGGGAGGGGGGAGGGAUAACAUUGGGAGAUAUACCUAAUGCUAGAUGACGAGUUGCAAUGGUAGUGGUAGCUGUAGUAGCAGCAACGAAAAAAUGCAUUUGUUUGGGUGGAGCAUUUGGUGGUGUUAGGAAGAUGGCAGAAUGGCAGAUGCUGCACAAACUGUCUUCCUUCUCUAUAUCAUUUUACACCCUUCACCAACAAUACUCAUUUUAGGCUUCUUUUUUAAGCUUCUACCUCUUUAAUGUAAAUGAGUGUAACUGUCCCUUGAUACUGGCAUACUGCUAAUAGCAGAACACAAUUUCUAAGAGGAAAAUAAGGAGAGAACAGGAUACAAAGGAGAUGUUCAGAAAGGGGACCAGAGUAGAGCUGGCUCACAGAGCUGGCUCACAGAAUAGACAUAUUAAACAACACCAUGUAGACACAAUCUGUAAAAUCCAGAGUGUGGAAAAUUCUAAAGGACAAACCUUGGUUUCUUUAACAAAAACAUCAACAGCAACAGCCAAAAUUUGCAAAAUCACAAAAGUCCUUAUAUCGGGAAGAGUAAGGCAGGAGAAUAUGUGAUGAUAGAAGCAUGGAAUGAUGUAAGGCUGCGAGCCAAAGAAUUCAGGUUACCUCUAUUUAAGCUAGAAAAGGCAAGGAAAGGUUCUCCCCUAGAACCUGCAGAAGAAAGACAAUCCUGACAACUUGAGCAAACUUAAUUCAUGAGUGUUGUGUAUGUUCUGAUUGCUGCACCAAUCAGUCAUUCUGUUUUCCCUCUCCGUUUCCUUGGGCCUCCCUAUUUUUUGAGACACAAAAAUAUUGAAAUUAAGCCAACUAAUAACCCUAUAAUGGAGACAAGAAAUAUGCCUAGGUUAUGAAAUUUGACCCAAAAAGUACAAUUGUAUGAUAUCCCCAAUCUAAAAAAUGAACUUGCAUAUAGCAUCAUUUAGUUGCUACAAACUCUUAGUUUGCAUUAGAUUCAAUACUGAAUGGCGAAAUAAUUUACCAUUGAGCUGUCUUUAGGGAUAUACAUACAUAUUCAUACAUAGACACACAUCUUUAAAUUAGUGCUAAUUUAG
rnacentral:lncRNA from 1 species